ACAACCGUCUUUGUCACUAUUGAGCGAAUUGCAUUUAGAUUUUUGCAAACUCCAUGAUGGAUCACUUCCCGAUGUCAUGAAUGAGUUAUCAUCAUUGCAAGUUUUAAAUCUAAGUGGAAACAAUUUUAUUGACGUACCAUCUGGCCUUAUUUUCAAUCUUUCAAAGCUUAGGGCUAUUGCCCUCGCUUAUUGCCCAAGGCUUCAGUCUUGGCCACAAUUUCCUUCAAAUUUGUCAUUUAUAAUUGCAAAUGGUUGUUCAUCAAUGAAAUAUUGCAGAAGUUCACGGCAUGAUGGGAUUUCAUUGGAUCAUUUCAACCCCAGGUUCGCAACCAUUUGAAUAUCAAGCCUGCAAUUAUACAAUGGGACUCAAAAGUUCGUGAGUUCUUCUUGGAACGUACUCGCGUAUUGAUGAUUCAUGGUACCGAAGUGCCAUCAUGGUUUUAUAACCAAAACUACUUUUGUGAGAAAGAAUUCAAUCAUCCAAAUGUGUCAUUUAUAAUAAGCUUGCCCACUGGUUACUGUGGUUCAAGUGAAUGGCGGGGCAUAGCCAUAUGCUUAAUAUUAGAACAUAAUUUUGCAACUGGAGCAGAGGUGGAUGCAGUUUGGUGGACGUUAAGAUUUCCUAUUGAUGAAUUUCCGAAGACGUAUUGUCGCACUAAGGUUUAUAUAGAUUCGUAUGGUGGUCCUCAACUUUGUAUGAUAUAUAUUCGUUGUUCCUCUUUGGUUGUAAACGGACUUCAAAUGGUAUUCUUUGCUAAGAAUGCAAUUGAAAACAAGUCACCAAUGUUUAGAAUAAGGAAGUGUGGGUGGCGAGCAGUGUGUAAAGAAGAUGUUGAAGCUUGACCAAGAGCCCGUGGGACGAAGGUUGUAGUAGCAUCAAUAAUUACAUCAUCGGUGACGUUAAGAAAAAUGGAGGUUAUAAUCACUCCCUGAGACAUUAUGAUCGAUUCAUUGUUGAAGAAGACGAGUCAACUUCCAAGACAACAAUGUGAUAAAGAAAAGAACGAAAGAAACGCAAUCAUGGAACGCAGAGUGGACGAGGGCCUGCAAGCAGAGGGGGUGGCUGGCAAAGAGAGGGUACAGAUCGCGAAGGGCUUGGGAUCGACAAAGGAGGUCGCGAGAAGGGUAUAGAUCUUCAAAGGAAAAGAAGGGUUGGCGAUGAUUGUGUAUUGCGUUUUUGCUCUCUCUCGUUGGGGAAUUGGUUGUUGGGCAUCAUAGACUAUGAUUUUCUUGUUGAUUUUAAUUUCUGGGCAUCAUAGAGUACGAUGUUGUUGGAAUCAAUUUUGCCUCUGGCUGUGAAUAACUUUACCCAUUCUGCUUAUGGUUCUGCAUACGACAGGAGGUCUUAUUAUCUGGCUUAAAAAAUGGCUCGCUCACCCAGGUGUCAGGGAUGAGUUGCAGGUCGAUGCUUGUAUAU